GGGCACCGCCGCCGGUACACCGCGCAUCGAAUCGCCACCAGUGCCGAUUCUGCUGACCCCUCGCCAUCGCCGGCGGGCGAAUCGACACCAUGGCCGCCGCACGCCGGGGCCGCGCCGACGGUGCCAACGGCGUCGUCCGUCCCCGCCCCCGCGACCGUGUCGUCGGCGUCAGCGGAAGCAUGGCGGGGCGCGUGGCCGUCCUCGCCUUCUGUGUCGCCGGGAUCUGGUCCGCCUACAUCUACCAGGGCGUCCUCCAGGAGACUCUAUCCACGAAGCGGUUCGGGCCGGAGGCGCGGCGGUUCGAGCACCUUGCGUUCCUCAACUUCGCGCAGAAUGUCGUAUGCUUCGUCUGGUCCUUCCUAAUGACUAAGUUGUGGUCGGGCGGGAGCGGGAGCAGCUCCGACGGCCGUGCGCCGCUAUCGAAGUACUGGGGCGUCAGCGUAACCAAUACCAUCGGGCCGACCAUGGGGAUCGAGGCGCUCAAGUACAUUAACUAUCCGGCUCAGGUUUGGUUCCGCCUGCUAUUGCCGUCUCACCUUGGUUGUUAUAUGCACUGUCCCGGACAUUGUGUCAUGUUAAUGUUAGGUUCCUGUCGCGGGCACAUGGGUAAUAUUGUCACUGACGCUUAUGGAUUGAGAUGUUCCGAUAGAGUUAAUUGACUAUAUAGGGAGCUCUUUGGAAGUGCUUCCUCAAGUGAACAUUUAGGAAGAACAUUGCAUUGAUUGGAUUGUAUGUGAUAUGGCGACUGGCGAUCGUGUGCGGUAUCGACCAUCGGCAAUCCAUCUCUAGCUAUCUUAUUGCAGAGAGCAUUGAUCCAAGCAUCGUUCUUGCUCAACGGAUUUGUUUUUUUCUCUUGACAAGCUCGAAGAUAUGUGGCGCGAGGUUUCUUUACGCAAUCCCGACUAAUUUCUGUUGGUGUGAACAGGUGUUGGCAAAAUCUUCUAAGAUGAUCCCUGCAAGUUUACAUUUACUUAAACACACUGCAUA